UUUUCAUUGUUUGACAAGAUUCGUCAAGCAUAUCAUAAUGCUAUAGCUAAACUAUAAUUAACUAUGAUGUGUUACGCUACAGUCGCAAACACUCAAACUGUUCUGCAUCAGUCUGGCUAUGAUGAAUUCUGUCUGUCUGUAUUUUUGCAGCACUGAACACAGUCUCUCCUUUGGUUGUGAUUGUUGUUUUCACCUCUUUUGCCCUGCUGAACGUCGCUGUGAUAACUUGCUGUAUUUAUGGAGUUGUGCUACGGAGAAGAUAUUCAAGACAAUACCUACUCACUGAACAACGCCGAAAAAUGAGAAUCACAGAUAAACAGGAAGAUGAAGAAGAGGAGGAUGAAGAUUAUCUAAUGUUGGAGGGUUAUGAGGAAGACGUUGUCCAAGCG